CCAUCUUUUAUGACUUUAACUACAUACAGUAAUAUACUAUGAUUAUAUAUUAAGGAAAAUUGUUAGGAACGAUUGAUGACCCGUUGAAAAUACAGAUAGAUAUCUCUCUCUACCUAUUUGUAGUACUGAAGCAUAACACGCAUUACAAAAAUUGUACGACUCUAGUGCACAACUCCUUUCUUACUGCUAACUUUGUAGGUUUUAAUAUUCUGAAGCUUAUUGCAACUCUCUAAGAGAGAGAUUUUUUAAUAGUCUUUUUUGUUUCAGGAAAAUUGAUUAUCAUUGCAACAUGGGAAUUGUAUUUGCUGUUAUCCCACCUCCUAGAUGUUUUUACUUGGCACCUACUUCCUUUCUGAUGUCUCACUAAAGAAGAUUGUAUCUAGCAAAUUUUUAUUUCAAUAUAGGUUUAUUUCUAAAGAAGAGUUCCCAGAGUGAAUGCAAAAGAAAACUGGAAAAAUUGUUCACUCCAAUUUGUGUACAACAAAUAACUCUACCAGAAGUGGACCCAGCUGUGAUGAAUCUUUUGGAAUUGUUUUCUUGACAGCUACAUCAAGAAGAUUAGUAUCUUCCAUAUUCCUUUUCUAACUUCUUGAGGAACUGGUUCUAUCUUUGAAGAUCGGGAGAGUAGAGGAGUGGUGAAAAGAGGGAGAGCUAAAGAAUGAAGCAAGACAACAAAAAAAUUGGAAUAACCAUACAGUUGACUUCAGUAAAAUAUUCCAGUUAAUUUUACAAAAACUGAUUUUGAUCAAGAUCAUAAUUUACCAUAUGUCACUCGAGUUAAAAUGGAAUAUUUUCCCAAGGAAACUAGUAAAAUCAUGAAGAAUUCAAAAAUCAAUGAACUAUUGGAAGAGAAAGGUCACACUGUUGGAUGUCUGGGAUGCACACGUUAGGGUAGAAAAGAAUGAAGCAGUCACAGAGAGAGAGAGAGAGAGAGGCAGAGACACAGGCAGAGGGAGAAGCAGGCUCCAUGCACCGGGAGCCCGACGUGGGAUUCGAUCCCGAGUCUCCAGGAUCGCGCCCUGGGCCAAAGGCAGGCGCCAAACCACUGCACCACCCAGGGAUCCCCAACACUUAGCUCUUAUGUACAAUCACCAAAAUUGCACACUUCAUAUUUUGUGACCCUUACAUGUGGAUUUAUAUGAAUUUCAUUCUUAACAGAAAAAAAAAAAUUAAAGCACCUCAGAAAUCCUAGUUCAACUGUUGCUCUUACCUCUUUAUAGUACAUACUACCAAAACUC